rnacentral:rRNA from 1 species
CGUGGGUAACCUGCCCAAGAGACUGGGGAUAACACCUGGAAACAGAUGCUAAUACCGGAUAACAACACUAGACGCAUGUCUAGAGUUUAAAAGAUGGUUCUGCUAUCACUCUUGGAUGGACCUGCGGUGCAUUAGCUAGUUGGUAAGGUAACGGCUUACCAAGGCAAUGAUGCAUAGCCGAGUUGAGAGACUGAUCGGCCACAUUGGGACUGAGACACGGCCCAAACUCCUACGGGAGGCAGCAG